rnacentral:rRNA from 1 species
GAUUAGAGUUUGAUCAUGGCUCAGAUUGAACGCUGGCGGAAUGCUUUACACAUGCAAGUCGAGCGGCGGCGCGGGGCAACCUGGCGGCGAGCGGCGAACGGGUGAGUAAUGCAUCGGAACAUGUCCCGUAGUGGGGGAUAACCCAGCGAAAGCUGGGCUAAUACCGCAUAUGCUCUACGGAGGAAAGUGGGGGACCGCAAGGCCUCACGCUAUGGGAGCGGCCGAUGUCCGAUUAGCUAGUUGGUGGGGUAAUGGCCCACCAAGGCGACGAUCGGUAGCUGGUCUGAGAGGAUGAUCAGCCACACUGGGACUGAGACACGGCCCAGACUCCUACGGGAGGCAGCAGUGGGGAAUUUUGGACAAUGGGGGCAACCCUGAUCCAACCAUGCCGCGUGCGGGAAGAAGGCCUUCGGGUUGUAAACCGCUUUUGGUCGGGAAGAAAAGGCACGUUUUAAUACGGCGUGUUCUUGACGGUACCGGCAGAAUAAGCACCGGCUAACUACGUGCCAGCAGCCGCGGUAAUACGUAGGGUGCGAGCGUUAAUCGGAAUUACUGGGCGUAAAGCGUGCGCAGGCGGUUCGUUAAGUUCGUUGUGAAAGCCCCGGGCUCAACCUGGGAACGGCAAUGGAAACUGGCGGG